GGAUGGACUGCAGACGAUUUUGUUUUUUUGCUUAGGGCUAGUAUUCUGCAGUCAUGAUAGCAUUUCUGAAUCAGUGCAGGAGGUGACCUUCAGACCUGGAGAAAACAUCACUCUGUACUGUGACUGCAAAUUAUCAACUGGAGUAUUUGUGGUCUGGUUCUUCAGGAACUGCUCCCUUAAAGACCAGUCUCAUUAUGUUUUAAAAGCCAUGGAUCAGUUAAAACCUGGAACAAAAUUCCCACGUUUGAAAUUUUUAAAAAAUGAAUCUUCAGAAUCUUAUGACCUACUGGUUGUAAAUGCCACUAAUUCAGAUGUGGGCGUCUAUUACUGUGGAACCGAAGAGAUAAAAGUGGAGACAGACAAUGAGAAGAACAUCUUCCGUAAAGACAUUUUUACGUAUGGGAAUAUCUCUACAAAUCUCAUACUUGACACAUGUGAGCCCGGUUCUGACUUUAAGAAGACAGCGGAGGACUGCGAUGCCUGCUGGAAGCUGCUCUUCUCUCUGUGCCCGACUAUUUUUCUUCUCUCUGUUGUUUUCUCCUCACUUUUAAUUCACUUGCUUUGUCACAUGACAGGUAAAGGUAAAGAAGAUCAAUCUGAACAAAAAAAAUACAUGGAAGAGAUGCAGGAUGAAAACAUUUGCUAUGCUGCCUUGGAUUUCCAUCAGCCAUCACAGAGACCAAAGAAAACAAAAUGAAAGCCAAGUGUACCUCCAAUGAAGAUUCCCAUUCUCCUGGGAUGUAAUCCGACAAGGAUCAAUGUUCUCAUCCUUCUCAUGUAUCAUCCUUCAAAGCUAGACUUUGACAAAAGUUUUUCAUCCUUUUCAUAAAUAUUUUAUAUAUAUUUUAACAUAUGGUUGAGGAAAAAAUUAGGUUGCUCCAUUAAAUACUUAUUUUUUUUAUUACGUUCA